AUUGAACGCUGGCGGCAUGCUUUACACAUGCAAGUCGAACGGUAACAGGCCGCAAGGUGCUGACGAGUGGCGAACGGGUGAGUAAUGCAUCGGAACGUGCCCAGUCGUGGGGGAUAACUACUCGAAAGAGUAGCUAAUACCGCAUACGAUCUAUGGAUGAAAUCGGGGGACCGUAAGGCCUCGCGCGAUUGGAUCGGCCGAUGUCAGAUUAGGUAGUUGGUGGGGUAAAGGCUCACCAAGCCAACGAUCUGUAGCUGGUCUGAGAGGACGACCAGCCACACUGGGACUGAGACACGGCCCAGACUCCUACGGGAGGCAGCAGUGGGGAAUUUUGGACAAUGGGCGCAAGCCUGAUCCAGCAAUGCCGCGUGCAGGAAGAAGGCCUUCGGGUUGUAAACUGCUUUUGUACGGAACGAAACGGCUCUGGUUAAUACCCGGGGCUAAUGACGGUACCGUAAGAAUAAGCACCGGCUAACUACGUG
rnacentral:rRNA from 1 species